UACGGAGGGAGCUAGCGUUAUUCGGAAUUACUGGGCGUAAAGCGCACGUAGGCGGCUUUGUAAGUUAGAGGUGAAAGCCUGGAGCUCAACUCCAGAACUGCCUUUAAGACUGCAUCGCUUGAAUCCUGGAGAGGUGAGUGGAAUUCCGAGUGUAGAGGUGAAAUUCGUAGAUAUUCGGAAGAACACCAGUGGCGAAGGCGGCUCACUGGACAGGUAUUGACGCUGAGGUGCGAAAGCGUGGGGAGCAAACAGG
rnacentral:rRNA from 1 species